AAUAAGAUUAUUUUUCAGUUUUUUGAUACAAUGUUGACUCUUCGUCUUAUUUGAAAUUUUUUGCGAUUAAUAUUUUUAUUCUUACUAGAACAUGAAUAGUAAUUUAUGCGUGACUAAAUUUUUUAAGUUUUUUACAAAAUUUUCAAAUAAGACGAACGGUCAAACGUUGGACACGGAAAAACA
rnacentral:pre_miRNA from 1 species